rnacentral:rRNA from 1 species
GUAGGGAAUCUUCCACAAUGGACGAAAGUCUGAUGGAGCAACGCCGCGUGAGUGAAGAAGGUCUUCGGAUCGUAAAACUCUGUUGUUAGAGAAGAACGUGCAUGAUAGUAACUGAUCAUGUAAUGACGGUAUCUAACCAGAAAGCCACGGCUAACUACGUGCCAGCAGCCGCGGUAAUACGUAGGUGGCAAGCGUUGUCCGGAUUUAUUGGGCGUAAAGGGAACGCAGGCGGUUUUGUAAGUCUGAUGUGAAAGCCUUCGGCUUAACCGAAGAAUAGCAUUGGAAACUGGAAGACUUGAGUGCAGAAGAGGAGAGUGGAAUUCCAUGUGUAGCGGUGAAAUGCGUAGAUAUAUGGAGGAACACCAGUGGCGAAAGCGGCUCUCUGGUCUGUAACUGACGCUGAGGUUCGAAAGCGUGGGUAGCAAACAGGAUUAGAAACCCCUGUAGUCC